UGAUUCUUCAAAGUGCACGGAUCCUGUCAAGAAACCCAUGGGACGGGGCGCCUGGGUGGCGCAGUCGGUUAAGCGUCCGACUUCAACCAGGUCACGAUCUCGCGGUCCGUGAGUUCGAGCCCCGCGUCAGGCUGUGGGUUGAUGGCUCAGAGCCUGGAGCCUGUUUCCGAUUCUGUGUCUCCCUCUCUCUCUGCCCCUCCCCCGUUCAUGCUCUGUCUCUCUCUGUCCCAAAAAUAAAUAAACGUUGAAAAAAAAAAUUUUUAAGAAACCCAUGGGAACACAGCGGUGGCUGAGGACCCAAGGAAGAAGCGACCUAGGGAGUCAGAGGUGGGCGGGGCCAGAGCUGGGGGCUCCGCCCCGGGUCUGGGUCUCCGGAAGGCUGUCCACAGGGCCAGAGCUCUCAGAUGUAAAGGAGGCUGUGGCGGACGCAGAGGCAGCGGCUUUCCACGCCAAUCUGGGGGUCCCCCCAAAAGAUGUCCUGGUUCCCAAGGGCUCUCCCAGGCCCUGACCUUAGAUACCGUCUCUUAUUCUCCUGUCCGCUCUGACCCGAGAUCUCCUACCGCUGUUUUGGCCAUCCACCCUUUUUAAGACUUGAAGAUGGUGGGGUGAAGCGGGUGGCACGUAGGCAGGGUAGGGGUGAGGAGGGGCGCUGUGCAAGAGAGGACCCCCAAGCACCGAAUGGGAAGUCUGGAAGUUCCAAGGCAAAUGGGGAUUCUGUCCAGACUUGCUGAUGGAAAGCCUUGCUUCAGUCUGAAUUCAUGUCUUCCAGAAAAAUCACCAGCAAUGACAGGCUCCUCGGUGUGGGUUCCAGCCACAGGCCAAUGAUUGAGCUUCGCGGAACCGGGGUAAGGGAAAGAAUGACAGUCCAACAUCUUCUUUUUCCGCACGCAGACUGUAAUCAGCUCCCUUCAAGGUCAUCCUGGAACACCAAGGACAGUCCAGACCCCUCCCGGCUCUCCUCAGUAAUGGACAGAAGCAAUGGUGCAAAUAAUCUGGCCAAAUGAAAGUUAGCAGAAGAUAUGCUUCAGACAACAAAGAUGGGAUGCAGGAAGGAGGAAGGGAAAGAAAAGAAAGCCCAGGAUGGUGGAAAAGGGAAGCCACGGGAUGCAGAGGUGCAAGAAAACCCCCGACGCAGGCUUGAGCGGGAGGGCGCUGUGCUUUUGGGAAGAGGGAAAACAGGAAAGACUGAAACAAAACAAAAUAAAACUCUCCCCGGCCUGCUCA
rnacentral:lncRNA from 1 species